rnacentral:rRNA from 1 species
UUGUUGCAGUUAAAAAGCUCGUAGUUGGACUUUAGGCAAGGCGGCCUGGUCACCCUCUGGGUGUACUGGGAUCGCUGCGCCUCACCUUCGGGGAGCUAGUCGUGCUUCGGUGCGCUAGGGAACCGAGCCUUACCUUGAGGAAAUUAGAGUGUUUAAAGCAGGCUUAUGCUUGAAUACGUUAGCAUGGAAUAACAUGAUAGGACUUUGGUUCUAUUUUGUUGGUUUGAGGACCAAAGUAAUGAUUAAUAGGGACAGUUGGGGGCAUUAGUAUUCAAUAGUCAGAGGUGAAAUUCUUGGAUUUAUUGAAGACUAACUAAUGCGAAAGCAUUUGCCAAGGAUGUUUUCAUUAAUCAAGAACGAAAGUUAGGGGAUCGAAGACGAUUAGAUACCGUCGUAGUCUUAACCAUAAACUAUGCCGACUAGGGAUCGGUGGAGGUCGAUUUUGACUCCAUCGGCACCUUACGAGAAAUCAAAGUUUUUGGGUUCUGGGGGGAGUAUGGUCGCAAGGCUGAAACUUAAAGGAAUUGACGGAAGGGCACCACCAGGAGUGGAGCCUGCGGCUUAAUUUGACUCAACACGGGAAAACUCACCAGGUCCGGACAUGGGGAAGGAUUGACAGAUUGAGAGCUC